AUUGUAAAACAAUGGCAAGCAUUAAAUGACAGUGUAACUCUAAUUCACUCUACUUAAAGGAACACUAUAGGGUCAGGAACACAAACAUGUAUUCCUGACCCUAUAGUGAUAAAACCACCAUCUAGCCCUCCUGGGCCCCUCAUUCCUCCCUAAAUAUAGCAAAAUCUUACUUGCAUUCAAGCCCUGCAUGCUGUUUGCAUUGUUGUCUGCUGACAUCAUCAGAAGUGGUAGCCUGAUCCAAUCACAGUGCUUCUCCAUAGGA